CGUCAGCUCGUGUCGUGAGAUGUUGGGUUAAGUCCCGCAACGAGCGCAACCCCUAUUGUUAGUUGCCAUCAUUCAGUUGGGCACUCUAGCGAGACUGCCGGUAAUAAACCGGAGGAAGGUGGGGAUGACGUCAAAUCAUCAUGCCCCUUAUGACCUGGGCUACACACGUGCUACAAUGGUUGGUACAACGAGUUGCGAGUCGGUGACGGCGAGCUAAUCUCUUAAAGCCAAUCUCAGUUCGGAUUGUAGGCUGCAACUCGCCUACAUGAAGUCGGAAUCGCUAGUAAUCGCGGAUCAGCACGCCGCGGUGAAUACGUUCCCGGGCCUU
rnacentral:rRNA from 1 species